AAUAUAUGUACAUACAAUAAAACAAAUAUUGAAUAUUUAUUACAUAUAAAGGCACAUUAUGAUCAUGUUCAGCAUGUCAAAUAUGUAUUUCUUUGCAGAGUGGCCAAGUUCAACCCGAGCUGUCAGACACUCUCAAUAGAUCCCUUGGAAGAGGAGAGUUGGCGCCUGAAAGAGAGGUUAGGUGAGGCCAGACCAGCGCCUUUCCCCUGGUGACUCCCCGGAGGAAGAAUGCCAUUCAGUGCUGCUGCUGUCACCUUCCACAGCGCAGUUCCGCAGGAAGAUAAAAGGGUCAACCAGAGCAAGAAUGUGUGGAAAGUGAUGUGUCCUUUGGCCUCACACACACACACACACACACACACACACACACACGUUCUUGUAUUACUUACCUUCUUGAGACCUCGGAAAAAUACCUCUUUAGGACCACUCUUUCUAGAUGUAUAAAUAUUUCUAUUUACAACAUUAAUAAUACAUACAUACAUACAUCCAUUUACUACCGAUUAUUACCUUGUUUGGGGUCCUGGUGCCUAUUUUAGCUACAAUUGGGCGGAAGGCGGAGUACACCCUGGACAAGUCACCACCUCAUCGCAGGGCCAACACAGAUAGACAGACAACAUUCACACACUAGGGCCAAUUUAGUGUUGCCAAUCAACCUAUAACCAGGUGCAUGUCUUUGAAGGUGGGAGGAAGCUGGAGGGAACCCACGCAGCUCACGUGGAGAACAUGCAAACUCCACACAGAAAGAUCCAGAGCCCAGGAUUGAACCCAGGACUGCAGGACCUUCGUAAUGUGAGGCAGACGCACUAACCCCUCUGCCACAGUGAAGCCCUAAUACAUACAUAUGUACAUAUAAAAAGGUAAGCUUUUAAUUAUUUUAUUUUAUUUUUUAAGCUUGGACUUGAUUUUUAAUCAUCAUUAUUUACUUCAAGUUAUUAUAGUAUAUCUCUACAGACAUACUCUGUUGUUUUUAAUUACACACACUUGUUAUUUCAUAUGUUGACUGGAGGGGCGCACAUUUAAAACCGACACAAUGUCAAUUUGCAAAAACCCUUCCCUAAUUUUGAUAGAUUUCACCACCAGGGGUGCAAAUGAGACAUUCUCUAUUAGAUACAUAGUUUUCUGUAUUGGGACUAGGAUUUAUGUCAUCACUUGUUCACACCUCCUCAUAUGGAAGCUACUUUUCCUUGUUGAUGUCUGAGGAAGGGUGGAAAUACACACACACACACGUAAGUUGUUGAUCAGGACUUGUGGGGACCACCCUUUCUACAGGUUGUGGAAGUGUAAAAAAAAUAGGUAAUAUGGU